rnacentral:rRNA from 1 species
CAGUAGCCGCGGUAAUACGGAGGGUGCAAGCGUUAUCCGGAUUUAUUGGGUUUAAAGGGUCCGUAGGCGGACUUAUAAGUCAGUGGUGAAAGCCUGUCGCUUAACGAUAGAACUGCCAUUGAUACUGUAAGUCUUGAGUAUAUUUGAGGUAGCUGGAAUAAGUAGUGUAGCGGUGAAAUGCAUAGAUAUUACUUAGAACACCAAUUGUGAAGGCAGGUUACCAAGAUAUAACUGACGCUGAGGGACGAAAGCGUGGGUAGCGAACAGGAUUAGAUACCCCCGUAGUCCCUGUCUCUUAUAC